rnacentral:tRNA from 1 species
ACCUGUUUGGCUCAAUGGAUAGAGUGUCGACCUGUGGACUCGAGGGUUGCAGGUUCAAUUCCGGUCAAAGGCA